GACGAACGCUGGCGGCGUGCUUAACACAUGCAAGUCGAACGGAAAGGCCUCUUUUGGGGGGUACUCGAGUGGCGAACGGGUGAGUAACACGUGAGUAACCUGCCCUUGACUUUGGGAUAACUUCAGGAAACUGGGGCUAAUACCGGAUAGGAGCUCCUGCUGCAUGGUGGGGGUUGGAAAGUUUCGGCGGUUGGGGAUGGACUCGCGGCUUAUCAGCUUGUUGGUGGGGUAGUGGCUUACCAAGGCUUUGACGGGUAGCCGGCCUGAGAGGGUGACCGGCCACAUUGGGACUGAGAUACGGCCCAGACUCCUACGGGAGGCAGCAGGGGGGAAUAUUGCACAAUGGGUGGAAGCCUGAUGCAGCAACGCCGUGUGCGGGAUGACGGCCUUCGGGUUGUAAACCGCUUUCGCUCAUGACGAAGCUUUGUGUGACGGUAGUGGGUAAAGAAGCACCGGCUAACUACGUG
rnacentral:rRNA from 1 species